rnacentral:rRNA from 1 species
CCUACGGGUGGCAGCAGUGGGGAAUAUUGCGCAAUGGGCGAAAGCCUGACGCAGCGACGCCGCGUGAGGGAUGAAGGUCUUCGGAUCGUAAACCUCUGUCAGCAGGGAAGAACGGUCACUGUGCUAAUCAGCAGUGAAUUGACGGUACCUGCAAAGGAAGCACCGGCUAACUCCGUGCCAGCAGCCGCGGUAAUACGGAGGGUGCGAGCGUUAAUCGGAAUUACUGGGCGUAAAGCGCUCGUAGGCGGUAUGUCAAGUCAAGGGUGAAAUCCCCGCGCUCAACGUGGGAACUGACUUUGAAACUGGCAAACUGGAGUGUGGGAGAGGAUAGUGGAAUUCCAGGUGUAGGGGUGAAAUGCGUAGAUAUCUGGAGGAACAUCAGUGGCGAAGGCGACUAUCUGGCACAUAACUGACGCUGAGGAGCGAAAGCGUGGGUAGCAAACAGGAUUAGAUACCCUAGUAGUC